rnacentral:sRNA from 1 species
AGAUGCUCUUGCCCGGACUGCUAAAGAUGCAGCUAUUUACAGUGGACAAAAACUGAAGGGGUGAAAGAAAACCCAAGGCAAUCAAGGCUGCACUUGCUACCCUUCUGCAGGAAGCUUCCCAGCACAGUUUCUCUCUGCCCUGCCUCUUAAUCCCCACCCCCUGCUCCCAGGCCUGGGACACUGCUAACCACCCCUCCUUCCUGACACCUCUCUGACCACCCCUCCUCCUCUUGACUGGUUCCUCUGGAGGUAGGCAUGGCCUCGGGUUCUGCCCCCAGCUUCUCACUCGCCGGGCUCCAAAAGAAACACUGGCUUCUCUCCUUCAGCUCCAGGCUAGAUGCCAGACCAGUUUGACCAGGCGGUUGUGCUGAACCAGCUGCGGUACUCAGGGAUGCUGGAGACUGUGAGAAUCCGCAAAGCUGGGUAUAAAGUGCUGAUGAGGAAUCUGGCUCUGCCCGAGGACGUCCGAGGGAAGUGCACGAGCCUGCUGCAGCUCUAUGAUGCCUCCAACAGCGAGUGGCAGCUGGGGAAGACCAAGGUCUUUCUUCGAGAAUCCUUGGAACAGAAACUGGAGAAGCGGAGGGAAGAGGAAGUGAGCCACGCGGCCAUGGUGAUUCGGGCCCACGUCUUGGGCUUCUUAGCACGAAAACAAUACAGAAAGGUCCUUUAUUGUGUGGUGGUAAUACAGAAGAAUUACAGAGCAUUCCUUCUGAGGAGGAGAUUUUUGCACCUGAAAAAGGCAGCCAUAGUUUUCCAGAAGCAACUCAGAGGUCAGAUUGCUCGGAGAGUUUACAGACAAUUGCU